GCCCUCCCAAUAAUUUGCUAAUGACCAUUCUUUUUGAAAAUCAUUCAGACCUUUACCAUUUAAAUAAUAUACCUUUAAUUAAAAUACUGACAAUUGAUUAAUUUUAAGCGACUACAUUAUCCAUGACAAACUGCAAAGAAUCAUAUUACCCAUACUUUCCUCCAAUAUAUACUUAAUUAAAUACGCCUUCGCCCAUUUAGUACUACUAAAUUGUAAGUAAAUUGUAAAUUUCGACAUACUGAAACGCUGUUUUUUGACCAUCAGAAUUCUGU